rnacentral:tmRNA from 1 species
GGGGGUGCUGGGGUUCGACGAAUAAACAAGUUAUACUGGCGCAGGCAGAGGAUGGUGGUUGGCCUCUUUAAACAUCCACCAAAAAAUAAACGCUGACUAUAAUUACGCUUUAGCAGCUUAGUUGCUGCUAACGUUCUAAGUAGCUUUUGCCUGUAGGGCGCUUAAAACGUAGGCAUACAGGUCCUGCAAUGAGGUACGCCCAAGCCAAAGUUGCAGUGUAACAAGUGAGGCUAUGCUUUUGUGCUUUUGUUGCUUUAACACAAAAGCAGAAAUUAAAAAGCAACUAAGCCUGUAGCUUGGCAGUAUAAUGUGUUUAUUCGGACGCGGGUUCAACUCCCGCCACCUCCACCA